rnacentral:rRNA from 1 species
UACCUGGUUGAUCCUGCCAGUAGUCAUAUGCUUGUCUCAAAGACUAAGCCAUGCAUGUCUAAGUAUAAGUAUUAUACAGCGAAACUGCGAAUGGCUCAUUAAAACAGUUAUAGUUUAUUUGAUAAUCGAAUUUACAUGGAUAACCGUGGUAAUUCUAGAGCUAAUACAUGCUGGUAUGCUCGACUUUUGUGGAAGGGCGGUAUUUAUUAGAUAACAAAUCAAUAUUCCUCUGGUCUAUUGUGGUGACUCAUAGUAACUGAUCGAAUCGCAAGGCCUAUGGCCGCGAUAAGUCAUUCAAGUUUCUGCCCCAUCAGCUUUCGAUGGUAGUGUAUUGGACUACCAUGGCGUUUACGGGUAACGGAGGAUUAGGGUUCGAUUCCGGAGAGGGAGCCUGAGAAACGGCUACCACAUCUAAGGAUGGCAGCAGGCGCGUAAAUUACCCAAUCCUGAUUCAGGGAGGUAGUGACAAGAAAUAACGGACUGGGUCUUCGGACUUCGGGAUUGCAAUGAGCCGAAUUUACACCCCUUAGCGAGAAUCGAUUGGAGGGCAAGUCUGGUGCCAGCAGCCGCGGUAAUUCCAGCUCCAAUAGC